GAUGAACGCUGGCGGCGUGCCUAAUACAUGCAAGUAGAACGCUGAAGCUUGGUGCUUGCACCGAGCGGAUGAGUUGCGAACGGGUGAGUAACGCGUAGGUAACCUGCCUGGUAGCGGGGGAUAACUAUUGGAAACGAUAGCUAAUACCGCAUAACAGUAGAUAUUGCAUGAUAUCUGCUUGAAAGGUGCAAAUGCAUCACUACCAGAUGGACCUGCGUUGUAUUAGCUAGUUGGUGAGGUAACGGCUCACCAAGGCGACGAUACAUAGCCGACCUGAGAGGGUGAUCGGCCACACUGGGACUGAGACACGGCCCAGACUCCUACGGGAGGCAGCCGUAGGGAAUCUUCGGCAAUGGGGGGAACCCUGACCGAGCAACGCCGCGUGAGGGAAGAAGGUUUUCGGAUCGUAAAGCUCUGUUGUAAGGGAAGAACGAGUGUGAGAGUGGAAAGUUCACACUGUGACGGUAUCUUACCAGAAAGGGACGGCUAACUACGUG
rnacentral:rRNA from 1 species